AUUAUUUUAAUAAACAUAUAUACAUAUGUUUGAGUUUUUCAAGUCUAAUUCGACCAAGCCGGUAAUGUUCAAGCUCGAUUUGAAAUUAAUUUCAAUUUUUUUCUGUUUAAUUUCAUUUAAUUACGAGCCAAGUUCUAGCGAGCCAAAAACUAAACCAAAAGCGGCCGAAACUCAUUUUCUAGCACUAGCAGCGACUGCCUGGGAAAUAACUAGGGGUGGAAACGAGCCGAGCCCGAGCGAGCUUGCCCCAGCUCAAAUUCGGCUUGAAAUUAAUUUCGAGCCUAAAUUUAAGCUCAAGCUCGGCUUGAAAUUAAUUCGAGCCGAGCUCGAGCGAGCCUAAUUUCGAGUCGAGCGAGCUCGAGCCCUAAGCGAGCCGCUUGAAAUUCUCAACAUUGUACGAUUAAUAGUUUAAUUUGUAUAGAACAUUAUUUAUAAUUUGAUACAAAAAUAUAUCUAAUAGUUCAAGAUACAAAAUAAUUAUAUGAAAUACGGUAUUAUAAUAUAAAGAAAAAUAAUUUACGAGUUGAAUAUCUAAUCUUUUCAGUUU
rnacentral:lncRNA from 1 species